AUGGAGACUGAAUACAAAAUUGCUACAGUUAUGUUAGAAGAUGCAGGCCUCAACACAAUCCACAGAAACAAAGAGGGGGGUAUAGACUAUGGGACUAGUGGGCAGAAGAUCAGUAAAUUUUCUACUGACACCAACUCCCUGUGGGUGAAACAGGAGCAGGUGCCCUUGGAGCAGGAGGGUACACUCUGCUGGCAAGAUUUGCAUAUGGAGUCAUUAUAUAACAGCCCAGUCUCCUUUAAGGUCAGCUGUCAGGAGCCUAAGAAGCAUCCUCUCUUCCAUCUCCCAGAGAUAGAGACAGACACACUGUUCCUAUUGGUGCUGGUGCUCUGGGUUCCAGGUUCCAUUGGUGACAUUGUGCUGACCCAGUCUCCAGCUUCUUUGCCUGUGUCUCUAGGGCAAAAAGUCACCAUCUCCUGCAAAGCCAGCGAAAGUGUCAGUACAUCUAGCUAUAGUUAUAUGCACUGGUACCAACAGAAACCAGGACAGCCACCCAAACUCCUCAUCUAUGGUGCAUCCAACCUAGCAUCUGGGGUCCCUGCCAGGUUCAGUGGCAGUGGGUCCGGGACAGACUUCACCCUCGCCAUUCAUCCUGUGGAGGCUGAUGAUGCUGUAUCCUAUUACUGUCAGCAAAGUAAGAAGCUUCCUCCCACAGUGCUCCAGGGCUGA